GGGCCCGCACAAGCGGUGGAGCAUGUGGUUUAAUUCGAUGAUACGCGAGGAACCUUACCAGGGCUUAAAUGUAGUAUGACCGGCUUGGAAACAGGCCUUCUCUUCGGAGCAGAUUACAAGGUGCUGCAUGGUUGUCGUCAGCUCGUGCCGUGAGUGUUAGGUUAAGUCCUGCAACGAGCGCAACCCCUAUUCUUAGUUGCCAGCGGUUCGGCCGGGGACUCUAAGAAGACUGCCAGCGCAAGCUGAGAGGAAGGUGGGGGAUGACGUCAAAUCAUCACGGCCCUUACGUCCUGGGCUACACACGUGCUACAAUGGUAGAGACAGAGGGCAGCCACCUGGUGACAGGGAG
rnacentral:rRNA from 1 species